CAACGGUCUUCGAGACAACAUAAAAGAAAAAUUUUCCGUACACGAAAAUGCCCGUGGUACAUUUUUCUCGGAUAAAUCGAAUCUUCCAAGUCCCGACGUUCAGAACCUGAAAAACGGAUGCUUUCUAUCCACAUCUGAUCCACUUUAAACCGGUGAGUGCGUUUCAUAUUGUCAUUAUACAUUAUAAGCGCGUUAUGUUAUCCACUGAAGUUGCUACGAACAGCAUAAACCUACCAAUGUUCGUCCAUGGUAGAACGUUUUUGGAGCCAUACUACGUGCGCAAUUCGAGUACAUCCCAUGAACUGUCUAGCUUUUCGUUACCCGCAUUUAGUUUACAAACAUAGUGGCUAUAUUGCGCGACUUUGCUCUGAGAGCAGUCACGAGGCAGUUAUGAAAACGCAGGUCUAAGCCCAUGC